AGCUUCACGAAUUCUUGUGGAUUAAGUUUUCUGGCUACGUCAAACAGUGUGUUUGUGUCUAUAUAUGUAUAUAUGAGAACAGGCAGGCUGCGUUCACAGAGAAACAAGAAACAGGGAAGCUGAGCAACUGAAAGGAAGAAAUGCCGCCGCCAUGGGGUCCACCGCCACCAGGCCCGCCGGGACCAUCCGGAUGCUGCGGGGGUCUCUGUGAUGGCAUCUGCAACCUUUUCUCUUCUUGCUUCUAUAUUCUGUGCUGCUGCUGCCUCUUCGAGAGCUGCUGUGGACCAUUGUUCGGUGGACGUCCUCCGCCUGGACCCCCCGGACCGCCCUUCUGAUCCGAAUAUGAUUUGUAACACUUGUGUAUUCUAUCUGUGCAACUACUUAAGAGUUUGGUCCGCCAUGUGAGUUGACUGUAAUAUUUCUUCAUAAUAAUACUUUAUAAUCCCCCUUCAAAUGGCAGCCUUAUAAGUCUUGUAAUUGCGUUAAGCGUAGACGGACAGACUAACAACGCCAUUUGUAAGGAAGAUGUUUGCAGACAGGCUGAUAGAAAAUUUUCCUAAAGCAUUGAGAUGGCUUUUGUUUGGUAAAUACGAAUUAAAAGGUGGAUCAGGAAAUUAAUCAUAUAAAAAGAUCAAAAUGUCCCCAUAAAAUAGAAGCUACUCAUAUUUAUGACCUUUGAAUAUGAAAUUGGAUAUGAGAAUGACCCCCCGUCUAAGCAUACAACCGAUGAAAACCCAACAGAUCUGAGGAGAUUCAAAUCUGGGAUGAAUACAAGGACGAGGAGAUCCAUCCACCCACAAUAUUGAAAGCUGUCGCGUUUAAGAUAUUGGGAGCCGUCACAGGGUUGAGCUCAGCUUUGUUCUUUAUCAAGCAUUGAAAAAGGUUACGUGGAGAGGAAGGUUCAGAGAUCCAAGUGGAAGAACGCCUCCCAUCACUGCAACCCAUUCAACCCGGAUCCAAGCAUGAAUUGGAAUCAUUAAACAUGGUCGCCGUCGCCACUGGGGUGCUCAACCACCUGAGAAAGGAUGGAAGGAAGAGAGCUCGGAUGAAGGACAAGACCAUUCAAUCCAAUCAUAGUCGCUGUCAAUCCAGUGGCCGUUACCAUGCUGAACCCAGCUCUCGAGUGAUCUUGAAAAUUUGAAAAAUGAUAGAGGGCAUUAUUGUUUUGGCUGGCAAAAUUAUUUUCAUGGGAAAA